rnacentral:rRNA from 1 species
CGGGGGCCCGCACAAGCGGUGGAGCAUGUGGUUUAAUUCGACGCAACGCGCAGAACCUUACCAGCCCUUGACAUGUCCAGGACCGGUCGCAGAGAUGUGACCUUCUCUUCGGAGCCUGGAGCACAGGUGCUGCAUGGCUGUCGUCAGCUCGUGUCGUGAGAUGUUGGGUUAAGUCCCGCAACGAGCGCAACCCUCGCCCUUAGUUGCCAUCAUUCAGUUGGGCACUCUAAGGGGACUGCCGGUGAUAAGCCGAGAGGAAGGUGGGGAUGACGUCAAGUCCUCAUGGCCCUUACGGGCUGGGCUACACACGUGCUACAAUGGCGGUGACAAUGGGAUGCAAAGGCGCGAGCC